rnacentral:rRNA from 1 species
UACGGAGGGGGCAAGCGUUGUCCGGACUUACUGGGCGUAAAGGGUGCGUAGGCGGUUGCAUGCGUCCGCGCUGAAAUCCCGAGGCUCAACCUCGGGGCGCGUGCGGAUACGAUGCGACUUGAGGCUCGGAGAGGGUGGGAGAACUCCUGGUGUAGUGGUGAAAUGCGUAGAGAUGUGGAGGAACACCGAUGGCGAAGGCAGCCCCCUGGGUCAAGAUUGACGCUCAUGCACGAAAGCGUGGGGAGCAAACAGG